CUCAAGGUAUCUUUCCAUGGUUAUCCACUGCUGCUCUCUUCGGUGCCCCGGGCUCUCAUCCAGGUCCUCAAACUCAAGUGCCUACAGGGGCCAGACAGGUUGUUCAGAUUUCCCAGAGGUACACCCUUCAGGUUCCAUCCUGGAGGACAAUGGCCAGUGUUCUGGGAAUUUCAGCGGAUGAGGAUCCGAGAGGCUGAGUAACUUGCCUGAGGAAAAACAGUCAAAGAGUGGAAGUAUCACUUGGCUGCAUCUGGAUCCAGAGUCCCUGCGCUUUCCACUGCCCUACUUAGAUGGCCCUGGGUCUCCUAUAAUAUCAGCACAGCCUGGUGCCCCCAAGGCUUUGAAAAAGUCCCACAGAUUGGAACCCAGCUCAGCUCCCAGGCACCCCCCAGGUCGGGAGGGAGAAUGCAGCUUUAGAACCUUAGCUGUCACCUCUGCCACCACCUUCUUCCCGGCAGAGGGACUCCCUCCAAGACUGGGUAAGGGUGUGAAAAAGGGGCAGCAGUGGGCAGGAUGGGGGUCAGACGCCGAGAGGGUAGCAAAGAUUGGAGCAUCAGGAAGUGAACAUGCCUGGGACUGUUGGGGAGCAGCGAUCCAGGGAGAGAGCUUGGUGUUUGGGGAUUCGACUGAGGCCUGUGAAGGAGAAGCAGAUGGGGCCUGGGGCUCCCCCAGAGUGUGGCCCUUCCCUGUCCCUUCUGCUCCCUCUCCAUCUUUAAAAAAUUUUAUUUUUAUUAUUACUA
ensembl:lncRNA